GAUGAACGCUGGCGGCGUGCUUAACACAUGCAAGUCGAACGGAAAGGCCCAAGCUUGCUUGGGUACUCGAGUGGCGAACGGGUGAGUAACACGUGGGUGAUCUGCCCUGCACUUCGGGAUAAGCCUGGGAAACUGGGUCUAAUACCGGAUAGGACGAUGGUUUGGAUGCCCUUGUGGAAAGUUUUUUCGGUGUGGGAUGAGCUCGCGGCCUAUCAGCUUGUUGGGGGGGUAAUGGCCUACCAAGGCGUCGACGGGUAGCCGGCCUGAGAGGGUGUACGGCCACAUUGGGACUGAGAUACGGCCCAGACUCCUACGGGAGGCAGCAGGGGGGAAUAUUGCACAAUGGGCGCAAGCCUGAUGCAGCGACGCCGCGUGGGGGAUGACGGCCUUCGGGUUGUAAACUCCUUUCGCUAGGGACGAAGCGUGUUGUGACGGUACCUGGAGAAGAAGCACCGGCUAACUACGUG
rnacentral:rRNA from 1 species